UACGUAGGGGCCUAGCGUUGUCCGGAAUUAUUGGGCGUAAAGAGCGCGCAGGCGGUAUGACAAGUCAGAUGUGAAAGAGGCCGGCUUAACCGGCAAGGGUCAUUUGAAACUGUCAGACUAGAGUGCAGCAGAGGAUAGUGGAAUUCCCGGUGUAGUGGUGAAAUGCGUAGAUAUCGGGAGGAACACCAGUGGCGAAGGCGACUAUCUGGGCUGCAACUGACGCUGAGGCGCGAAGGCUAGGGUAGCAAACAGG
rnacentral:rRNA from 1 species